GAUGAACGCUGACAGAAUGCUUAACACAUGCAAGUCUUUGGUGAAGCUGUGCUUGCACAGCCUAGCCAAGGCGGACGGGUGAGUAACGCGUCAGGAACUUGCCCUGCAGUCAGGGAUAACAGACGGAAACGACUGAUAAGACCUGGUAAAGUCAGGCGGACUCAUGUCCAGCCUGAUGAAAAGAGAUGCUGCAGGAGAGCCUUGCGUCCUAUUAGCUUGUUGGUGGGGUAACGGCCCACCAAGGCAAUGAUAGGUAGCCGGCCUGAGAGGGUGGACGGCCACAAGGGGACUGAGAUACGGCCCUUACUCCUACGGGAGGCAGCAGUGGGGAAUAUUGGACAAUGGGGGCAACCCUGAUCCAGCAAUUCUGUGUGCACGAUGAAGGUUUUCGGAGUGUAAAGUGCUUUCAGCAGGGAAGAAAAAAAUGACGGUACCUGCAGAAGAAGCGACGGCUAAAUACGUG
rnacentral:rRNA from 1 species